AGCAGCUGCAGUAAUUCCAGCUCCAAUAGCGUAUAUUAAAGUUGUUGCAGUUAAAAAGCUCGUAGUUGAAUUUAGGGGUCAGCAGGUUGGUCGUGCCACUAGUAUGCACUGGCUUUGCUGAUUCCUUCCUCUUGUAGAACCGUAAUGCCAUUAAUUUGGUGUUGCGGGGAAACAGGACUGUUACUUUGAAAAAAUUAGAGUGUUUAAAGCAGGCUAACGCCUGAAUACAUUAGCAUGGAAUAAUGAAAUAGGACGUUCGAUCCUAUUUUGUUGGUUUCUAGGAUUGACGUAAUGAUUAAUAGGGAUAGUUGGGGGCAUUAGUAUUCAAUUGUCAGAGGUGAAAUUCUUGGAUUUAUUGAAGACUAACUACUGCGAAAGCAUUUGCCAAGGAUGUUUUCAUUAAUCAAGAACGAAAGUUAGGGGAUCGAAGACGAUCAGAUACCGUCGUAGUCUUAACCAUAAACUAUGCCGACUAGGGAUCGGACGAUGUUAAAUUUUAUUGAAUCG
rnacentral:rRNA from 1 species